UACAGAGGUGGCGAGCGUUGUUCGGAUUUAUUGGGCGUAAAGGGUGCGUAGGUGGCUCCAUGUGUCGAAUGUGAAAUUCCGCCGCUCAACGGCGGACCUGCAUUCGAAACUGUGGAGCUUGAGUGCAAGAGGGGAGAGCGGAAUUCCUGGUGUAGCGGUGAAAUGCGUUGAUAUCAGGAGGAACACCGGUGGCGAAGGCGGCUCUCUGGAAUGCAACUGACACUGAGGCACGAAAGCUGGGGGAG
rnacentral:rRNA from 1 species